rnacentral:rRNA from 1 species
UGCGUAGGCGGUUUGAUGUGUCCGCUGUGAAAUCCCCCGGCUUACCCGAGGAACUGCAGCGGAAACUAUCGGGCUUGAGGACAGGAGGGGAGAGUGGAACUCUAGGUGGAGCGGUGAAAUGCGUUGAUAUCUAGAGGAACGCCGGAGGCGAAAGCGGCUCUCUGGCCUGUCCCUGACGCUGAGGCACGAAAGCUAGGGGAGCAAACGGGAUUAGACUACCCCGGUAGUCCUAGCCGUAAACGAUGGGCACUAGAUGGAGGAGGAUUCGACGCCUUCUCUGUCGAAGCAAAUGUGAUAAGUGCCCCGCCGUGGGGAGUAUGGUCGCAAGGACUAAA